rnacentral:rRNA from 1 species
GACAGAGGGGGCAAGCGUUGCUCGGAAUCACUGGGCGUAAAGGGCGCGUAGGCGGCUGUGCAAGUCUGGCGUGAAAGCCCCGGGCUCAGCCCGGGAAGUGCGCUCGAAACUGCGCGGCUCGAGUGCCGGAGGGGAGAGUGGAAUUCCUGGUGUAGCGGUGAAAUGCGUAGAUAUCAGGAGGAAUACCGGUGGCGAAAGCGACUCUCUGGACGGCAACUGACGCUGAGGCACGAAAGCGUGGGGAGCAAACAGG